GGGGCCGUGGUGCAGUGGGAGCACGUUUGACUGGCAGUCAAAAGGCCAGGGGUUCAAAUCCCCUCGGCUCCA
rnacentral:tRNA from 1 species